UACGAAGGACCCGAGCGUUAUCCGGAUUUAUUGGGUUUAAAGGGUGCGUAGGCGGAACGGUAAGUCAGUGGUGAAAGCCUGUUGCUUAACAACAGAACUGCCAUCGAUACUGCCGAUCUUGAGUACAUAUGAUGUGGGCGGAAUGUGCCAUGUAGCGGUGAAAUGCUUAGAUAUGGCACAGAACACCGAUUGCGAAGGCAGCUCACAAAACUGUAACUGACGCUGAGGCACGAAAGCGUGGGGAUCAAACAGG
rnacentral:rRNA from 2 species